AUUUAGUUCAUCCGGUGUUUACAUUUGCUCGAGGCACUUUUGCCCAACUCAUUUUUGAUGUACAUUUACGCACUACGGAUUUUCACCCUAACUGGAGGAGCAAUAAACACUUUACUCAAGGAGAAGUUUUAGUUGUUUAACGGCACAAUCUACAAAAUCUGUAGAUAGAAUUGCAAUAGAUAUUUUGGGUGGUUUACCUAAAACUAAUAAUGGAAAUGCAUAUAUCAUUAUUGUUGGUGAUUAUUUUUCAAAGUGGAAAGAAGCUUAUGCUGUUUCAGAUCAUGCUGCACUUACAGUUGCUGUAUAACUUGCUACUGAAUUCAUUUCACACUAUGGUGUUCCUAAUCAGACACAUACAGAUCAAGGGAGAGAAUUUGAGAGUGAAUUAUUUUCUGAACUUUGUAGACUCCUGGGUAUUGAGAAAACAAGAACCACUCCUUAUCGACCUCAGUCUGAUGGACUUGUAGAGCGUUUUAAUAGAACCAUAGUUGCCAUGUUGUCCGCUUUUGUUAAUGAAAAUAAAGAUGACUGGGAUGAUC
rnacentral:sRNA from 1 species